rnacentral:lncRNA from 1 species
GGCCUCCAUCUUGAAAACGGAAAAUAAAAACAGCAGACCUAUGAAGGUCGAAGGGGAAGAAAAGCUGUAUCGAUUGUUGAGAUCUGGCGACUUGUUUAAAUUUCAUCAGCCUCACUUCUAUGAACUCUCAGGCCUCACGUGUACCAGCUCUCUGCUCUCCUUUGCCUUGGGACGUUCCAUCCCUGGAAGUUUCCCUGCCCACAUCUUUGUAGAGAGUCCAUUCUCCAAGCUUCAGUGUGUCAUCUGUGAGGACCGUGACCCACCUGGUACAUCGCCUCAGGGCAUUCAUUUCAGGCUCCUUCUAAAUGGCCAAGGAUCUUGGAAGCAGAGGGAUCUGCAGAAGUGCUUGCAACACUUUCAGCCUUAACCAGCAUCAGAGACAAAAAUCCUUUCUGGAAUGAGGUAAACCUCAGGUUCUCCUCCUGCCUUUUGCUAAGUAUAUGUCUUGAUGACAAGCCUUCUGCUGAUGAGCUGUGUUUCUGGACCGAUCAUGGUAGAAGUCAAUUAACGUGUCCCUCACUUGGGGUUUCUCAAGGCUGCACUGAUGAGGAAACUGAAACAGAAAAUCCAGAGUAAAUUCCACCAGGCCACACAGCAAGGUCUGAUAGAGCCAGGAGAGACUUUAUGAAAUCCAGACUCUCACACUAAUGCUCUAUCAGCUAGACCUCCAUGUGAGUCUCCCCAAUGUAGGUAGGAAGUGCUUUCCCUAAAAUGCUCAUAAAGCAAAUCAGAGCAAUGCUGCAUUCCAUGUGAUUUCUAAUUUGAAAUGCAAACAAUUGCCAAUUUGUUUGACUUGUAUUUAUAAUUAUUUCCUUGUGAAUUACUCAUCACUAAAUGCUUUAUAAAUAUUUUCUCUUUUUUUCCUCAAUGUCUAUGGAAUGAUCACAGCAUAGAAAAUGUUGGCUUUCAAGGAUUUAUUAAUAUCUCCUUUUGAAAUAACAUGUAUUUGUAAGACAGAAUAAAAUCACUUUAAAGAAACAAA